UUUAAAGAACAGAGGAGUAGGAGAAAUACACAGCAGGGAGGGGCAGGGCAUGGUAGGGAGGGUAAAACUAGCCUAUUUUUGUUAGGGGGUUACCACUUAAGCAAAUCUGCCCUUCUAUGGAAAUUACCUCUACUAACCCCCCUAGAGAUUUUCAAAGCCUUUUUAUUACCUCCACAACUCAAGCUUAUACUCUAAGAAUUCCAAGACUUCUUUUCAUUAUUUUUUUAACUUGCUAACUCAUUUAUACAAUGGCUACCACAGAAGUACUGUUCUAAGGAGAAUUUUAAAGAAGGUACACAGGACAAGGCUGGCUAAUCAUGUGAACUCAUGCUUUUAAGAAGUACUGCUGAGUGCCAUAACACCGAUGAGCUCUGGAGACUCAAUGCUGAGCAGGACAGAAUGUCUGUCCUUCAGGGAAUUUAAUCUCCUGGGAACUACAAUCAGGUGACAGACAAUGAGAAUGCGGUUUGAACCCUGUGAGAAAAUACACACAUUCUGGCAGAGAAGUUAAAACAAAUAUGGAAAAUAAGAGACAUCCAGCAAUUCAGCAGCUUUCUCUAUUCUACCCUUGGCCUCAAGGUAGGAAGGAGAAAAGGGCCUCCAAGAGAGGCUGUGAGAACUCAACAGAGCAAACCCACAAACCCACCUUCCAGGAAAGGCAAUUGGUAAACAAAGAUCUUAAUUUUCUAAUUCAGACUAAUUUAUUUAUUUAUCUACCUACCUAUCUAUCUAUUGCUUGCUUGCUUGCUUCCAAGACUUUGAUGGAAUGACUUGAGAGGAAAAGGGCACAAGAGAUAAAAUAAAAUGACUGCAGUAUUUGUGUAAUAAAUGCUUUCUGACAAGAACAGCGAGAUGGGCUAGUGUCUAACGUCUACUCAACACAGCAGAAGGAUAAGAGGAAAGCUCUGGGAUGCAGAUUUCCAAAUCCUAACGGGGAACCAUCUGGAAGCAGUUGCACGCCAAAUCCCACGUUCACGGAAGCCUGGAGGAUGUCCUCAUGGGUCUGGGGGUGUAAUCUGACAACUAUGAGUGCCUUGGGGAUUUCGGGACACAGAUGACGGGCCAAGGCUCGCCUGCUCGCGGUCGCUUCGCACAGCACAGUUCUCCACGUCAGGAGCCACGUACUCAAGCACCGAAAGAUGCCAACAGGGCGUGAUGGUUUCCCGGACUGCAGUCUCCCAGGCAGGGCAUCCCUACCCGGCCCGGCGCGCUCGCGACCGACUAGUCCAGCGCGCCUCCAGGUCUCCGACGGCUUUCCUCAAAGCACCCCGGAAUUAGCCCUGACGUCUGAGGGCUCUCUAGGUUUUCCAUGUCGCAGGCGAGCGCGACGGGAGCGCACCUGGCAGCCUCCCAGCAAGCCCAGGCUAGACCGGCCCAUCCCUCACAUCCAAGCAGCUAGGGGUAAGGU